AGGAUGAACGCUAGCGGCAGGCUUAAUACAUGCAAGUCGAGGGGCAGCAUAGGUGUAGCAAUACAUCUGAUGGCGACCGGCAAACGGGUGCGGAACACGUACAGAACCUUCCUUUCAGCGGGGAAUAGCCCGGGGAAACCCGGAUUAAUACCCCAUAGUAUAUUGAAGAGGCAUCUCUUUACUAUUAAAGAUUUAUCACUGAAAGAUGGCUGUGCGGCUGAUUAGAUAGUUGGCGGGGUAACGCCCACAAGUCUGCGAUCAGUAACUGGUGUGAGAGCACGACCAGUCACACGGGCACUGAGACACGGGCCCGACUCCUACGGGAGCAGCAGUAAGGAUAUUGGUCAAUGGACGCAAAGUCUGAACCAGCCAUGCCGCGUGGAGGAUGAAGGUCCUCUGGAUUGUAAACUUCUUUUAUAUAGGACGAAAAAGGUCUUUACUAGAGUACAACUGACGGUAACCAUAUAGAAUAAGCAACCGGCUAACUCCGCGCCAGCGA
rnacentral:rRNA from 1 species